GGUGGUGCAAUGGGUCCAUGCAUCUGGCUGCUAACCGGAAGGUUGGUGGUUCAAGCCCACCCAGGGACA